CUCAGGACUAAUCAUCCUCAAAAAAAAAAAACAAAAAAAAGGACCCGGCUGUGAGCCAGAUAAUGGCUCAUUUGUGCUCCUCUCACCUGUCUGCUUUCAUCUGGCGUGUUAGAGCUGGCAACAGCUCACAGGUAAUAAACAGCUUCCUGACUUAACUCCAUUCACAUGUUAACGAAUAUUUAUGAAGCACCUAUUACGUGGUAGCAUUCAGAAGAAGCCAGUCACAUAUGAGGAGGAAAGUGGAUAAACAUCAAACUUGCUAAGAGACCAGAUCUUAAUUAUUCCCACCACAAAAAAGGAAUGAUCAUUCUGUGAUGGGCCAGAAGGACCAGCUAACGCUACAAUGGCAAUCAUACGGCAGUUUAUUAAUGUAUCAACUCAACACGAUGCGCAUCUUAAACUUACACAAUGUUAUGUGUCAAAUAUAUUUCAAUUCAAAAAUACAGAAAAAAAAAGAAAGUGGUACAUUUGUUCAUAAGAUGGAUCGAGAACUGGAACUGAAGAAUCAGAGAGGACAGCUCUUCCAAAUCCACUGACAGGAGAAAGAGAAUAGAAAAAUCUUAUUAGGACAUUGGAGUCAAAGAGUUUAUGUCAACUGAAACAGACAACCCUAGGGCAGAAUAAGGAAACCGAGUUAAGACAAUGAAUUCGGAGCCAAAUCUGUUUAAAAGAGGAGCUCUGUGGAGAGCCCACUGUGUAACAGCUGAGAAACAAAAGGUGGAUGACAACAGAGAAGGAAAAGAGGGCGGAUCCACGUUCCCGCCUCCCUGGGUAAACCCCACUCUCAAUGCCCGAUUUAGAGAGGAGGAGGGAAAUGCUGUUUUCCUGGGCCCCCAGUUUUGUAUUAUUUGAAACCUUUCUUUUUCAAACAAUCUAAUCUAAUGGAUUAGGUCACUGAUUCAAGAGGCAAAUUCAUUGACGUUCGUGGUUAGUUAAUGGACUCAUGUGCGCUAAUAUUUGUUGGCGGUUACCUAACUUUUCCACCGCUCGGUAAGCCUUUCUUCAUGAGCGGUAUGGAUUUAAGUCUUGUUGUUUUUAAAAAGGCAGAUUUGUUUUUUAGUUCAGUUUUUGCAAGAGGUAUUAUAGUCGUAUCAUUUGGCAAUUUUCCUAAGAGAAGAGAAUCUUGAAGAAUUUCAAAGCCAACUGUGUUUUUCAGUAAGCUCACAUACCAAGGAAGCUGGGAAAGAAGCUUGGAAAAAAUGAGAUGCAAAGUGAGGGUUGGCACAGAAUUUGAAUGAUGAUUAGCAGGGCGGACACCUCAUUCCAAAGCAUCCAGUUGCACAUAGCAUUUGCUCAGCAAUUUACCAAGAGGACAAAGGUGGCCUCCUCUGCUGUUUGUUGGUGAAAGUUUGCUAGACUUAUCUUUGAACGGUGACUGUCAGUUAUUAACUUUUCUCAUGAAAAAAGUCCCUGGAAUGUAAAAAUUUAUUCCGAGCAACAGCACACACCAAACCUCCCUCACCGCUGCCCGCUGUCCAUCUCAGAUUCUGAUCAUGCAGAGACGAAAGGCUGAGGGCUCUCCCGGAGCUCACCUUCCAUCUGCGAAAGCCACUGCCGGGACAAUUCUUUCCCCAGAGAGAAGGCAUCCUCUUGGGCACAGAAGCGAGAUAGUCUAACAGUGUCCCAGAGCUCUCCGUACCUCAGUUUCCCGAUCUGCGCAUGCCAUACAUGGUGGUCCUACUGCUGGUUUGAAAAGUAUGCUGCAAAUAUGAAGAGACAAUCAGCAAGGCUCCUUGGAUAAGGUUAUUAUAUUCAAGUCUUGCCAAAAAAUGUAAGAAAAGAAACUCCUGUUUGAUGGGAUCCAGAGGAACAAUUAUGCUUUCUAAAAAUAAGAUGAGCCGAAGCUAAGGAAAUGAAAACGUUUCUAAAGAAGAAGGUCAGGACUUCUUUUGUGGCCUCCUUUCAUCGCUGGGUUAUUCACUGUAAUAGUAGCCUGCCAUUUCAAACUAUGACUCAGGGGCCUGGUCAUGGGUUACAGAGCAUUUCAUCUGUGGUCACCCCACCUGCCCACGAAGAAAUUGAUGGUUAGCGACUACAGAGCAGGUUACUCACUGAAUAUUAUUCUCCACCGUAACCUCCUGACCCUUGCCUCAUCGAAAAGAUUGGUGCUAUUCUGCUUUUACCUACAGAGAAAGAGCAAGGAGGAGAUAAAAUAGGACCUUGAUAUUCAGGGUUGUGGCUCAUUUCUGAAGGUCGGACAUGAAAAGCUGUUUCGAAUUUUGCCCCAUUCGUUCUUAAAACUGCAGCCCAGGAAUUUAUAAGCAUAGCUGCCCUUUAUCUCUCCCAAGAAUGAAAUUGCUUUCUCCAAUAGAGUUUAAAGGGAUGAAUUAAUUCGUGUUUUUGGCAGGAGUACUCUAUAAUUGCAAAGAACUCUGAGUAUCACCAUAUAGUUUUUUCCUUAGAUGGUCCAUUAGGAGGAACUAUGGCAUUCCCAAAGCUAUUCUUUAAUUAGGUCAGCAGCAUCUGCCAAGAAUCCACUCUCCUCUCAGACCAGGUUUAAUCACAGUGACAAGUGACUUUCAAGUUUAUACCCACACACUCUUAGAUUUCGGAUUUGCCCUAGAAGAAGGUUCUGAUCAUAGCGUUCUGAGCGCUGGCCCCUGGGCCUGACUUCCCUGUCUGCCUGGAUUUGGGAUUUUUGGCCUGCCCUUACCUUGUGACUUGCCCCCCUGGAUUGCUGACCCAUUCUUGACCUCUGACAACAGCACGCUCCUUAACAUCUGUUCUACUUGCAUAGAGCCUUGCCUUCCGCCCGAUUCUUAAUUCUGAUUAUUAGGCUUCUGGACCAGGCCAAUCCUCACAGCCUAGGGAGGACGGAGAUGUCCUUAGACUAAAAUGGCCAAGACCAGAGCUCAUGAAUGACAAGGACAAAUAACCCAAGGACUCAGUGAUCAUACAAAUGUCCAAAUGGGGGGCACAUGAAUUGCUGUAAGGCCUUAGAUUUCACAUAUUAUAUAUAUGAGGUUCAUAUAUUACAGUUAGUUACAGGACACUAAUGAGAGACAGACUUUUCAAACCUAGGUCACAGAACACUGAGCAUAGCCCUCAAAAUGCACCCUGGAUCAUACAGCAAAAGAUACGCAGUCACCGAAUUGCUGCUGGGCCAAUGUGUCAAUCACGCCCCGAGGACAGCAGGCUGGGUGGCCACUUAAGACCUGAACAUCAAGAAGCUAGAAGAGGUGUGGAAAUUCUGAGAAGGUCUUUAUCAUUUAGAAACAGAAAGGCAUAGUGUGUCAAACUACUUCCAUUCCAUGGGAAACUGUUAUUCUAAAUGCUCAAAUAUGUCGGGGUAUUUAAAAUGACAAGAGUAGUUUGGACAACAGCAGCGGCUGUGGAAGACCAGAAGGAAUGAGGAGGGGAGCGAGGAGCUUGGUCACGGAACCUACUCAGGCACUGAUUGGGCAGCUCUCAGUUCCUUUGUAAAAGGUGAGGAAGGUAAUUCUAAAUCACAUUUAUAGCCCUUCCAGUUCUGAAUGAUUCUUUGACCUUGAGAUAGAAUCACAAGGCUGGAAAGGAUCUUAGAAGGUGCUUAAGUCAACCUCUAAACUUUCAGCGACAUAGAGCACAGCCUCUCCCUGGCCAGCCCAGGCCCUUUCCAAACAGUUCUUACCAGGGGAAAGUCUUCUUUAUCUUGAACUCACACCCUCCAACCUGUAUUUUCCAACAAGAAGAAAGAGAGUAGCACCUCCCCUCCCCUACUGUGAGCGUUCUACCUCUGUUAAUGCAGCUCACAUAUGAAUUAGCAUUUGAAGGACAGUCAUAUCACAUCAUUGAAUUACGUUGAUCUUAUAAUCUUUUUCACAUGUGGGCAUUAAGCAACACCUCUAAUAGUCUGUGUUGUUUAAUUGGGAUUUUUAUUCCAAGUAUAGAACCUUAAAAUUUACCCCUGUUGGAUUUUGUCUUGUUAUUGUUGAAAGAUCCUGUAAGAAAAGCCCAAGGCAAAAAGGGAUCAGUAAUGGACCUUAAGAAAAAGGGAAUAAGAAAUAGGCCUAGGGGCCGGUCCCAUGGCCAAGUGGUUAAGUUCAUGCGCUCCGC